rnacentral:rRNA from 1 species
GUGCCAGCAGCCGCGGUAAUACGUAGGUGGCAAGCGUUAUCCGGAAUUAUUGGGCGUAAAGCGCGCGUAGGCGGUUUUUUAAGUCUGAUGUGAAAGCCCACGGCUCAACCGUGGAGGGUCAUUGGAAACUGGAAAACUUGAGUGCAGAAGAGGAAAGUGGAAUUCCAUGUGUAGCGGUGAAAUGCGCAGAGAUAUGGAGGAACACCAGUGGCGCAGGCGACUUUCUGGUCUGUAACUGACGCUGAUGUGCGAAAGCGUGGGGAUCAAACAGGAUUAGAUAC